rnacentral:rRNA from 1 species
UACGUAGGCAGCAAGCGUUGUUCGGAAUUACUGGGCGUAAAGAGUGUGUAGGCGGUGUUCUAAGUCUGUCGUGAAAUCUCCCGGCUUAACUGGGAGGGUGCGGCGGAAACUGGAAUGCUAGAGGAUGGGAGAGGUAAGCGGAAUUCCUGGUGUAGCGGUGAAAUGCGUAGAUAUCGGGAGGAACACCAGUGGCGAAGGCGAUCACCUGG